GACGAACGCUGGCGGCGUGCUUAACACAUGCAAGCCGAACGGAAAGGCCCUGCUUUUGUGGGGUGCUCGAGUGGCGAACGGGUGAGUAACACGUGAGUAACCUGCCCUUGACUUUGGGAUAACUUCAGGAAACUGGGGCUAAUACCGGAUAGGAGCUCCUGCUGCAUGGUGGGGGUUGGAAAGUUUCGGCGGUUGGGGAUGGACUCGCGGCUUAUCAGCUUGUUGGUGGGGUAGUGGCUUACCAAGGCUUUGACGGGUAGCCGGCCUGAGAGGGUGACCGGCCAAAUUGGGACUGAGAUACGGCCCAGACUCCUACGGGAGGCAGCAGUGGGGAAUAUUGCACAAUGGGCGGAAGCCUGAUGCAGCAACGCCGCGUGCGGGAUGACGGCCUUCGGGUUGUAAACCGCUUUCGCCUGUGACGAAGCGUGAGUGACGGUAAUGGGUAAAGAAGCACCGGCUAACUACGUG
rnacentral:rRNA from 1 species